GACGAACCACACAAACGUUAUUCGGAAUUACUGGGCUUAAAGGGUGCGUAGGCUGUGCAGAAAGUUAGGUGUGAAAUCCCCCGGCUCAACCGGGGAAUUGCGCUUAAAACUACUGUGCUAGAGGAAGACAGAGGUGAGCGGAACUUCGGGUGGAGCGGUGAAAUGCGUUGAUAUCCGAAGGAACACCGGUGGCGAAAGCGGCUCACUGGGUCUUUUCUGACGCUGAUGCACGAAAGCUAGGGGAGCAAACGGGAUUAGAUACCCCGGUAGUCCUAGCCGUAAACGAUGAGCACUGGGUUGAAGGGCCCUCCAUAGCCUUUCAGCCGCAGCAAAAGUGUUAAGUGCUCCGCCUGGGGAGUAUGGUCGCAAGGCUGAA
rnacentral:rRNA from 1 species